ACUCCUACGGGAGGCAGCAGUAGGGAAUCUUCCACAAUGGGCGAAAGCCUGAUGGAGCAACGCCGCGUGGGUGAAGAAGGUCUUCGGAUCGUAAAACCCUGUUGUUAGAGAAGAAAGUGCGUGAGAGUAACUGUUCACGUUUCGACGGUAUCUAACCAGAAAGCCACGGCUAACUACGUGCCAGCAGCCGCGGUAAUACGUAGGUGGCAAGCGUUAUCCGGAUUUAUUGGGCGUAAAGGGAACGCAGGCGGUCUUUAAGUCUGAUGUGAAAGCCUUCGGCUUAACCGGAGUAGUGCAUUGGAAACUGGGAGACUUGAGUGCAGAAGAGGAGAGUGGAACUCCAUGUGUAGCGGUGAAAUGCGUAGAUAUAUGGAAGAACACCAGUGGCGAAAGCGGCUCUCUGGUCUGUAACUGACGCUGAGGUUCGAAAGCGU
rnacentral:rRNA from 1 species